UUGAAACAUUGGUUCCCAUAUGAUCAUUGAAGUUAAGCAACAUUGAGCCUGGUCUGUACCUAGAUGGGUAACCACUUGGCAAUACCAGUUGCUGUAAG